UACGAAGGGGGCUAGCGUUGCUCGGAAUCACUGGGCGUAAAGGGUGCGUAGGCGGGUCUUUAAGUCAGGGGUGAAAUCCUGGAGCUCAACUCCAGAACUGCCUUUGAUACAGCACGUCUUGAGUCCGAGAGAGGUGGAUGGAAUUCCUAGUGUAGAGGUGAAAUUCGUAGAUAUUAGGAAGAACACCGGUGGCGAAGGCGGUCCACUGGCUCGGUACUGACGCUGAGGUGCGAAAGCGUGGGGAGCAAACAGG
rnacentral:rRNA from 1 species